rnacentral:tRNA from 1 species
GGCCCCAUCGUCUAACGGUUAGGACAUCAGGUUUUCAUCCUGGUAACCGGGGUCCGAUUCCCCGUGGGGUCA